UUUCCGUAGGUGAACCUGCGGAAGGAUCAUUAAUGAGUUGUCAUGGGGUUCGAUGCUGGCAGCCAGUUUUUAGAUGCAUGUGCUUGCCCUAACAAUCAUCUUCUUCCAAACACCUGUGCACAUUUUUGAGGGAGUCUUGAGUUGGUUGCCGCUCUUGGGUGAUUUUCUCACAUUCCCUUAAAUCAUUAUACGCUAUUAACAAUGUUGAACGUGCUCUGUGCCGCAAGGCCAUUAAUACAAUACAACUUUUAACAACGGAUCUCUUGGCUCUC
rnacentral:misc_RNA from 1 species